UUACGGCCACAUCACGUUGAAACAUUGGUUCCCGUACUAUCACCUAAGUUAAGCAAUAUCGAGCCUGGUCAGUACCUAGAUGGGUGACCGCUGGGGAAUAACAGGUACUGUAAG